rnacentral:rRNA from 1 species
UGGGGAAUUUUCCGCAAUGGGCGCAAGUCUGACGGAGCGACGCCGCGUGCGGGAUGAAGGCCCUCGGGUUGUAAACCGCUGUCAGUUGGGAGGAAAUGCUAUGGGGCACUCUCCAUAGUUUGACCGAUCUUCAGAGGAAGUCCGGGCUAAGUUCGUGCCAGCAGCCGCGGUAAGACGAACCGGACGAACGUUAUUCGGAAUCACUGGGCUUAAAGAGUGCGUAGGCGGCUUUGUAGGUUGGGUGUGAAAUCCCCCAGCUCAACUGGGGAACUGCGCUCAAAACCACAAGGCUUGAGGAAGGUAGAGGUAACCGGAACUGAUGGUGGAGCGGUGAAAUGCGUUGAUAUCAUCAGGAACACCGGUGGCGAAGGCGGCUUACUGGGCCUUUUCUGACGCUGAGGCACGAAAGCUAGGGUAGCGAACGGGAUUAGAUACCCGUGUAGUCC